UGUAUCGCUGAGGAUAAUUUGGCUCCCUCUUCUGAAAACCAUGAGGAGAUUGCCACUGUUACCAAUUUCGGUCUUAGAUGCA